rnacentral:rRNA from 1 species
UACGGGGGGGAGCAAGCGUUGUUCGGAUUUACUGGGCGUAAAGCGCACGUAGGCGGAUUGUUAAGUCGGGGGUGAAAUCCUGGAGCUCAACUCCAGAACUGCCUUCGAUACUGGCGAUCUCGAGUUCGGGAGAGGUGAGUGGAACUGCGAGUGUAGAGGUGAAAUUCGUAGAUAUUCGCAAGAACACCAGUGGCGAAGGCGGCUCACUGGCCCGAUACUGACGCUGAGGCACGAAAGCGUGGGGAGCAAACAGGG